CAUGAAGCUGGAUUCGCUAGUAAUCGCGCAUCAGCCACGGCGCGGUGAAUACGUUCCCGGGCCUUGUACACACCGCCCGUCAAGCCAUGGAAGCCGGGAGUGCCUGAAGUGUGCAACCGCAAGGAGCGCCCUAAGGUAAAACCGGUGACUGGGGCUAAGUCGUAACAAGGUAGC
rnacentral:rRNA from 1 species